rnacentral:rRNA from 1 species
GACGAACGCUGGCGGCGUGCCUAAUACAUGCAAGUAGAACGCUGAAGGAGGAGCUUGCUCUUCUGGAUGAGUUGCGAACGGGUGAGUAACGCGUAGGUAACCUGCCUGGUUGCGGGGGAUAACUAUUGGAAACGAUAGCUAAUACCGCAUAACAGUAGAUGUUGCAUGACAUUUACUUAAAAGGUGCAAUUGCAUCACUACCAGAUGGACCUGCGUUGUAUUAGCUAGUUGGUGGGGUAACGGCUCACCAAGGCGACGAUACAUAGCCGACCUGAGAGGGUGAUCGGCCACACUGGGACUGAGACACGGCCCAGACUCCUACGGGAGGCAGCAGUAGGGAAUCUUCGGCAAUGGACGGAAGUCUGACCGAGCAACGCCGCGUGAGUGAAGAAGGUUUUCGGAUCGUAAAGCUCUGUUGUAAGAGAAGAACGAGUGUGAGAGUGGAAAGUUCACACUGUGACGGUAUCUUACCAGAAAGGGACGGCUAACUACGUG